GCAAGUCGAGCGGACGGAUGGGAGCUUGCUCCCUGAAGUCAGCGGCGGACGGGUGAGUAACACGUGGGCAACCUGCCUGUAAGACUGGGAUAACUUCGGGAAACCGGAGCUAAUACCGGAUAAUGCACAGCCUCUCAUGAGGCUAUGCUGAAAGAUGGUUUCGGCUAUCACUUACAGAUGGGCCCGCGGCGCAUUAGCUAGUUGGUGAGGUAACGGCUCACCAAGGCAACGAUGCGUAGCCGACCUGAGAGGGUGAUCGGCCACACUGGGACUGAGACACGGCCCAGACUCCUACGGGAGGCAGCAGUAGGGAAUCUUCCGCAAUGGACGAAAGUCUGACGGAGCAACGCCGCGUGAGUGAUGAAGGUUUUCGGAUCGUAAAACUCUGUUGUCAGGGAAGAACAAGUGCCGGAGUAACUGCCGGCACCUUGACGGUACCUGACCAGAAAGCCACGGCUAACUACGUGCCAGCAGCCGCGGUAAUACGUAGGUGGCAAGCGUUGUCCGGAAUUAUUGGGCGUAAAGCGCGCGCAGGCGGUCUCUUAAGUCUGAUGUGAAAGCCCACGGCUCAACCGUGGAGGGUCAUUGGAAACUGGGGGACUUGAGUGCAGAAGAGGAAAGUGGAAUUCCACGUGUAGCGGUGAAAUGCGUAGAGAUGUGGAGGAACACCAGUGGCGAAGGCGACUUUCUGGUCUGUAACUGACGCUGAGGCGCGAAAGCGUGGGGAGCAAACAGGAUUAGAUACCCUGGUAGUCCACGCCGUAAACGAUGAGUGCUAAGUGUUAGAGGGUUUCCGCCCUUUAGUGCUGCAGCAAACGCAUUAAGCACUCCGCCUGGGGGAUACGGCCGCAGGGCUGAAACUCAAAGGAAUUGACGGGGGCCCGCACAAGCGGUGGAGCCUGUGGUUUAUUCGAAGCACUCCAAAUAACCUUACCAGGCUUGACAUCUCUUGACACCUAGAGAUAGGGCGUUCCCCUUCUGGGGACCGGAUGACAGGUGGACAUGGUGUCGCCACUUCUGCAGUGAAAAUAU
rnacentral:rRNA from 1 species